rnacentral:rRNA from 1 species
CAAUAGCGUAUAUUAAAGUUGUUGCAGUUAAAAAGCUCGUAGUUGGAUUUCUGAUCGAGACAUCAGGUCGGGUCCGAGAGGAUCAUGUACUUUGAUUUUGUUUUGAUCAUCCUUGGGGAGAGCAUUUCUGGCAUUCAGUUGUCGGGAUUGGGAUCCUCAUCGUUUACUGUGAAAAAAUUAGAGUGUUCAAAGCAGGCCUCGGCCUCUGAAUACAUUAGCAUGGAAUAAUAAGAUAGGACUUUGGUGGUCUAUUUUGUUGGUUUGCACGCCAAAGUAAUGAUUAAUAGGGAUAGUUGGGGGUAUUCGUAUUCAAUUGUCAGAGGUGAAAUUCUUGGAUUUAUGGAAGACGAACUACUGUGAAAGCAUUUACCAAGGAUGUUUUCAUUAA